rnacentral:piRNA from 2 species
GAUGAGAUCGUACAUCAUGGUUCAGG